rnacentral:rRNA from 1 species
GCUCAAUGAAAUUUAAAUAGCCGCUUUUGUGCUAAGGUAGCAUAAUAAUUUGUCUUUUAAUUAAAGACUAGAACAAAAGGUUUAACAUCUCAAUUAAUAUUUUAUAAAAAACUAUUUAAAUUAUUUUAAUUGUAAAAAAACAAUUUUAAAAAAGAAAGACGAUAAGACCCUAUCGAACUUUACUUUAGUUUAACUGGGGCAGUUAAUUAAUUAUUAUUUUAAUUUAAAUAAAUAUUUAAUUUGACCUAAUAUUAUUAAUAAUAUAACUAAGUUACCGUAGGGAUAACAGCGUAAUAAAAUUUUUAAGAUCUUAUUUAAAAUAAAGAUUGCGACCUCGAUGUUGAUUUAAUAUCCUAAUUUACGCAAUAGUUAAUUAAGGAAGUCUGUUCGACUUUUAAAAAAUUACAUGAUUUGAGUUCAGACCGGUGUAAACCAGGUCGGUUUCUAUCUUCUAAAAAAAUUCUUCUAGUACGAAAGGACCUAAGAAAAUAAUAAUAUU